AGCCUCGUAGUGUAAUGGUAACACACCGGAUUUUGAUUCCGUAUUUCAAGGUUCGAGUCCUUGCGAGGCUG
rnacentral:tRNA from 1 species